GGGCGUGCUAUACAUGCAGUCGAGCGGACAGAUGGGAGCUUGCUCCCUGAUGUUAGCGGCGGACGGGUGAGUAACACGUGGGUAACCUGCCUGUAAGACUGGGAUAACUCCGGGAAACCGGGGCUAAUACCGGAUGGUUGUUUGAACCGCAUGGUUCAAACAUAAAAGGUGGCUUCGGCUACCACUUACAGAUGGACCCGCGGCGCAUUAGCUAGUUGGUGAGGUAACGGCUCACCAAGGCAACGAUGCGUAGCCGACCUGAGAGGGUGAUCGGCCACACUGGGACUGAGACACGGCCCAGACUCCUACGGGAGGCAGCAGUAGGGAAUCUUCCGCAAUGGACGAAAGUCUGACGGAGCAACGCCGCGUGAGUGAUGAAGGUUUUCGGAUCGUAAAGCUCUGUUGUUAGGGAAGAACAAGUACCGUUCGAAUAGGGCGGUACCUUGACGGUACCUAACCAGAAAGCCACGGCUAACUACGUGCCAGCAGCCGCGGUAAUACGUAGGUGGCAAGCGUUGUCCGGAAUUAUUGGGCGUAAAGGGCUCGCAGGCGGUUUCUUAAGUCUGAUGUGAAAGCCCCCGGCUCAACCGGGGAGGGUCAUUGGAAACUGGGGAACUUGAGUGCAGAAGAGGAGAGUGGAAUUCCACGUGUAGCGGUGAAAUGCGUAGAGAUGUGGAGGAACACCAGUGGCGAAGGCGACUCUCUGGUCUGUAACUGACGCUGAGGAGCGAAAGCGUGGGGAGCGAACAGGAUUAGAUACCCUGGUAGUCCACGCCGUAAACGAUGAGUGCUAAGUGUUAGGGGGUUUCCGCCCCUUAGUGCUGCAGCUAACGCAUUAAGC
rnacentral:rRNA from 1 species